GAUGAACGCUGGCGGCGUGCCUAAUACAUGCAAGUCGAGCGAACGGACGAGAAGCUUGCUUCUCUGAUGUUAGCGGCGGACGGGUGAGUAACACGUGGAUAACCUACCUAUAAGACUGGGAUAACUUCGGGAAACCGGAGCUAAUACCGGAUAAUAUUUUGAACCGCAUGGUUCAAAAGUGAAAGACGGUCUUGCUGUCACUUAUAGAUGGAUCCGCGCUGCAUUAGCUAGUUGGUAAGGUAACGGCUUACCAAGGCAACGAUGCAUAGCCGACCUGAGAGGGGGAUCGGCCACACGGGAAAGGGAACACGGCCCAACCCCCACAGGGGGGCAGGAGGAGGGAACUUUCCGCAAGGGGCGAAAGCCGGACGGAGCAACGCCGCGGGAGUGAUGAAGGUUUUGGGUUCGUAAAACUCUUUUAUUAGGGAAAAACAUAUGUUUAAGAAACUGUCCCCAUUUGGGCGGGCCCAAAGCAAAAAGCCCCGGCCAACUCCGG
rnacentral:rRNA from 1 species